rnacentral:lncRNA from 1 species
CAAUUAUUCCUAUCGUUACCACGGCAAUGACCUUUCAACAUGAGGACUUAAGGGGGCAUCUAAACCAUGGUAUCUUGAGAGGACAGAGAUACCACCCUGGCCCUUUACAGCACGCUGCCGGUCUCAGGAUCCUGGACCCUGUCAGACUGUAGAUUUCUCCUCAGCCAGCCUAGCUGCUGGGCCUGUGUCUGCAGAAGUGUCCCUAUCCUCUGACUGGGUGGCCGGACAUGAUCUGUUGAACAGCUUAGCAGAGACCCUCACCUGGGAGACACAUUGGGGAUGUUUGUCUAGAGGAGGGGCCUCUGACCUUCUCCCUGCUCUGGCUAGCCCUGGCAAUUCGAUACCACCCCUCUGCCACUGUCUUGUUCUGAGAAUCUCCAAUGACGCUGAGGAGGUUGUGAGAGCCUUGCUUACCCUACAGUGAUGGUAAUGAUCAUCAGAGGGCAGGUGGCCAACUAAGAAGGUGGCAGAGGGGGUUCUUAGAGAUGGCACCGGGAAAUGGGACGAUGACACGACACUGCUUGGUUCAGCAGAAAGUUCUAUCUGCUUUGAACUAGACCAGACCUACGGAAUCUGUGGGGCUGUCCCAAAAUAAAACUAUUUCAUCUUAGUGGUGUGGAAACUGCCAGCCAUGAGCCGGUAUUGUGACUGAGUGGAGGCCUGACAUUCCCAGUGAUGAUGGUGAGACCGGCUGGGCUGGGCUGGGCUGGUGUUUGGACAGCUUGGAAGGGAAGUGGCCACCCAUGUUGGGGUUGGAUAGAAGGGCAGAUCCUCAGGACCACCCUGUAGCAGUGUCCAGGUCCUGUAAUGUCUUAGGACAGAGGACACCUUGCAUUCUGGUCAUGUGUUUAUCCAGGGCCCGUUUCCCCAUGGGAAGCUGGAGAGAGGAUUGAGUCAGAGAGCAAGCUGAGAGGCAGGGUAUAAACAGGAAGUGUGCCAUAGUCCCACUUACACACACACCUGCCAUCUCAGCAUUCAAGAGGCUGAGACAGGAGGAGGUUCAAGAGUUCAAGAGCAGCAUGGACCACUGUCUCAAAACAAGGAUCCCCACAGCAGACACAAAGAAGAACCAGAAACAGUUACAUCUUAGAAUAACUGUGUACUCUUUGCCCUGAACAGAAGACCUGCAAACAAGUAUUCCAGCCAGCCACAGGAAGAGGACUGAAGAUCCCUUCUGCUGAGGGCAACCCUGGAAGGCACACCUGUUAUUUUCUGCACACAUCUUUUAAGUCAGAACAGUGUUGCUUGACUGCUGCCAACAGGACAGAAGGCUGGAAGAAACACCGUCUUCAGCUGAGAGGGAGGUGUGCGAGACUAAAGCUUGGGGUUCAGUGACUGAAGAAAGAAUAAGGAGAGAAACAGUGGGUGCUAGCCAGACCCUCUGCCAAGGGUGUCCCUUCUGUAA